rnacentral:lncRNA from 1 species
AUACAGAAAGCCCUCUGUCCUUACGAUAAAGGCAGAAGAUCUAAUUGAGCUGAUUAACACAAGCUGCCUGCGGACUGUUAAACUGAAAGACACACACUGUAACACACGUCCACUGGAGCUUCAGGAGCUGUAAACACUCAACUCUAGACGCUGCCGUGGGGUGGGGCCAGAGCCCACGCUCCCCACGACCUGCCCGUCUGCAUGCUCCCCUAGCGGUUUGAGCUGCUGCAGCAGAGCACCGAAGAAGCAAGCCACACCCCACCACAAACCCUGUGAGGGGGAUAAGGGAACUUUUCCUGUUUCAACUGGGACUACGCCCAGGAUUUCGGAAGACUCUAGUCUUCAACAGAGAGUAAGACCACUCCUAUAAAGACGGGCUUUUCUGGCCUCCAAUGCAGGUAAUUACAUAAGCAUGCUAUAGACUGCUGGUGCCUUCCACUACUUUAUGAUAUGGUGUCUAGGGUUAGAGUUUAUUCAGCUACCUUGAACCAGAAGCUGACUUUAGAAAUGAAUAAAACUAGUCCACUUAUGUUGUAAUAAUAAGGUAGAAGGAGCCUGGGUUUCCAAGGACAUUUUGCACAGAAA